CGCGUCCUGUUACAGCAGGUGAUCUCAGUUUGUGGGUCGUUAUGUAACUGCGCUGUGUUUAUCAGGAUCGCCCUUUCUACAUUGCGUGACGUUGCUGCGGUGUCUCCUAGUUACUUGUUUCUCCGUCCAUGUAGGUCAAAUCAUGGUGCCUCUGUAAAACCUCCAAAAGAAAUCAAAGUUUAUUCUCUAUUUUGCAACGUGCCAUCUCUACAUAAGUGCA